ACUGUCUACGUGCGCAAAUGAAAAAUUGGUAAGACAGUUAGAGACACAGACAUAAUGGUAGAUGAGAGCACGGAGACGCAGAUUGUGUUGGAACGUGAAAAGCGCACGCUCACAUGCACGCGCACUCUGCUUCUCCACCAAUCUC
ensembl:ncRNA F22E12.9 ncRNA